rnacentral:tmRNA from 1 species
GGGGACGUAAUGGUUUCGACAGAUUUGUUGAAAUCACAGAGGCACGUCGAGGCGCCGGAGGCCUCGUUAAAACCGGCAAAUUGUAUUUGGCAACGAAUACGCAAUGGCUGCUUAAUAGUUUAAUUACUACUUAGGCUACCCGUCUUACCCGUAUGUUCCGUCGGUGCGGGAGUAGACGUCAUUUAGAUGGAGUAGAGUGGGUUUUCUCGCAGAUGGGAUCCACUCGAAAAUAAAGUCUGCGGAGGGCAAGAGGAGUCGGUGACUGGACGCCUCAUGCUUAAUCUAAAGAAGUCACUACGCGUGUAGAAUCUGUGACGGAUCUCUUUUGGACGAGGGUUCGAUUCCCUCCGUCUCCACCA